UGAAAUUCUGCUGAAUUCACAAUCCAUGGUGCUCUAGCAUGAUGGAAAUGGAGGCUCAACAGACUUGGAUGACGAGUUAUGAAAAAAGAUGAAUUACCCAAAUUCAGAGUUUAGGUCAAAAAUGCAGAAGUGACAACAUCUUGCAACUGCAUGCCUGAUUAUCAGAAGAUAGAAACGUCAUAAAAGGUCUGUCUUUUGGAAGCUAAGGGUUACAACACUGAAAGUUCUUGAAGAUACUUCAAGAGACUAGCUGUCCAAGAAAUUGAAAUAAGAUGCUGGAUUCCUAUACUUUUAAGUGUUCUUUUUUUCCAGUUGGGGAAAAAAAAUCAAGGUU